rnacentral:rRNA from 1 species
CAGUAGCCGCGGUAAAACGUAGGGUGCAAGCGUUAAUCGGAAUUACUGGGCGUAAAGCGUGCGCAGGCGGUUAUAUAAGACAGAUGUGAAAUCCCCGGGCUCAACCUGGGAACUGCAUUUGUGACUGUAUAGCUAGAGUACGGCAGAGGGGGAUGGAAUUCCGCGUGUAGCAGUGAAAUGCGUAGAUAUGCGGAGGAACACCGAUGGCGAAGGCAAUCCCCUGGGCCUGUACUGACGCUCAUGCACGAAAGCGUGGGGAGCAAACAGGAUUAGAUACCCCUGUAGUCCCUGUCUCUUAUAA